CCUACGGGUGGCAGCAGUGAGGAAUAUUGGUCAAUGGGCGCGAGCCUGAACCAGCCAAGUAGCGUGAAGGAUGAAUGCCCUACGGGUUGUAAACUUCUUUUAUAAAGGAAUAAAGUGAGGCACGUGUGCCUUUUUGUAUGUACGUUAUGAAUAAGGAUCGGCUAACUCCGUGCCAGCAGCCGCGGUAAUACGGAGGAUCCGAGCGUUGUCCGGAUUUAUUGGGUUUAAGGGGAGCGUAGAUGGCUUGUUAAGUCAGUGGUGAAAGUUUGGGGCUAAACCGUAAAAUUGCAAUUGAUACUGGCGGCCUUGGGUACAGUUGGGGUAGGCGGAAUUCGUGGUGUGGCGGUGAAAUG
rnacentral:rRNA from 1 species